rnacentral:rRNA from 1 species
UACGUAAGGGGCAAGCGUUAUCCGGAUUUACUGGGUGUAAAGGGUGAGUAGGCGGUUCGGCAAGUCAUAUGUGAAAUACCCGGGCUUAACCCGGGAACCGCAUAAGAAACUGUCGAACUUGAGUACAGGAGAGGUAAGCGGAAUUCCCAGUGUAGCGGUGAAAUGCGUAGAUAUUGGGAAGAACACCGGUGGCGAAGGCGGCUUACUGGACUGAAACUGACGCUGAGUCACGAAAGCGUGGGGAGCGA